CUAACUGAGCAAGGACUGAAUUGUAUGAGCUGUGAAAUUUAGAGGAAAAAUGGUAAUAAACAUCUUGAACUAAAACAGUUUUGGACAGCAGCAGUAGGUUGACUUUGAAAAAUCACCAUAAAUUGUAUAAAUUGAAUUAUAGGAUGAAUAAAAUAUGAAAUUAAAGAUUAUUGAGUCUAGUUUCUUAUAGAAGAAACGGUGUAAGCAAUUGAAUUGUAAAUUAUGAGAUAUAAUGAAUUUUGUGAGACAAGGUUAGAACGAAUUCAGGUUCCCCUGUUUUGACUUUGGAAAAUCACCAAAAAUUGGAUAAAAUUAAUUAGAGGCUCAAAUUUAUAUGCUUAGAAUCUUUAAUGAGUCUAUUUUCAAUAGAAAUCAAUGGGAACAUUAUCCGAGUUCUGUACUGUGAUAUAAUUAAUUUUUAGUGAAGAGAGGUCAGAACCGUAGGAUAGUGAAACAGGGGAAAAUUAAAAGAAUAAACUGUACUAAUUGGCUAAACCAAAAAUUCUGAAAAUUUUAUGGUGGAAUGAUAUGUGAGUCUAGUUUCAGGGAAAAUUUACGGAUCUUAAUUUCGAGGUCUGUAGCUCGAAUUAUAAAUGAUUGAGUGACUAUGACUCGUGUGAACAGCUUGAUGUGAGCAUUAAUAAGUAAAUUGUGAAAUUGUACUUACAAGAAUGUUAUAUACAUUAAGGAUGUGGAAUGGAGAGGAGGAGGAGGAAAAACAAAUGAUAUAUGUUUAUAAGAAAACAGUAUGAGAAUGAUACAUAUCAUGACAUGUAUAUAUAUGACUAGUUUCAAUAUGAUGCUUGUUGGGUAUGAAGUUGGAUUGAAAUGUCUAAGGCAAGUAUUUUAUUCCGCGCAUCUGAAAUGUGGUAUUUUAUAAAGAUAUGAUCUAGCUUUAAAUAUAUAUGCCUGAUGAUUAAGCUGAAAAUAUUUGGUAAGAUGAUAAUCAUGGUAUAAAAGUAUAAGUGGUACCAUA
rnacentral:lncRNA from 1 species